CCUACGGGUGGCAGCAGUGGGGAAUAUUGGGCAAUGGGCGCAAGCCUGACCCAGCAACGCCGCGUGAAGGAAGACGGCUUUCGGGUUGUAAACUUCUUUUAAGAGGGAAGAGCAGAAGACGGUACCUCUUGAAUAAGCCACGGCUAACUACGUGCCAGCAGCCGCGGUAAUACGUAGGUGGCAAGCGUUGUCCGGAUUUACUGGGUGUAAAGGGCGUGUAGCCGGGCUGACAAGUCAGUUGUGAAAUCCGGGGGGUCAACCCCCGAAGUGCAUUUGAAACUGUUGGUCUUGAGUAUCGGAGAGGCAGGCGGAAUGCCUAGUGUAGCGGUGAAAUGCGUAGAUAUUAGGAAGAACACCAGUGGCGAAGGCGGCAUGCUGGACGACAACUGACGGUGAGGCGCGAAAGCGUGGGGAGCGAACAGGAUUAGAUACCCCAGUAGUC
rnacentral:rRNA from 1 species